AAUUUAAAAAUUUAUUUUAUAUUUUGAAAACUUUAAUAUUACUUUUUGUCUAAAGUACAGUCUGUGUGUUGGGGAGGGGGGGGACUCUGUGAUGCUUCUUCAUGUAUUUCUCCUGAAAAUCCUCUCAAAGCUGAAGUUCUCCCGCAUGUUUCAGCCUCUCAAUCUUCCACUUCUGUGAUUGGAUCAGAACUCUGAACAACCAGCUCGUUUACAAAUGAAGGGCGGCGACGUCUGUCGGGUCACCGCUGACCCGGACUGAGAGGUCAUUUACACACUCAGCAUCACCUCUCCGCUCGCUGCGCUUCUGCUGCAAACAGAAACGUGCAUCUCACCUCAUUUUCCUCUGGAUGAGCGGAACCGCCUCUAAAGUUCCUUCACUUUGGUUCCGAGGAAUGAAAAGAUCCGGAUCCCGGGAAAGAAGCGGCACUUCUGGGCCUUUCGGGGGGAAAAUCCCGCAGCUGAGCCGGGAGGAUGUGCAGAUGUUGUCGCUGGAUGACAGGGCGCGGAAACGCCUUCCUGUUCGGUUCUGAUAGUGUUUCGGGUUCGGUCGUGUUCGGAGGUGUCGGUAGGUUCGGUCGGAGUCAUUUCAGUGAGCGACACGCCGCUUUCAGAGGGACACGCCGGGCGGAGCGGCCGACGGCGGCUGCGGAGGUGCCAUCUUUUCCUGCCUCCGACCAGCAGGGGGCAGUGCGGAGCGGACGGAAGAGGCGUUGGAGCUGCGCGACGGCGCCCUCUGGUGGCCGAACUGCGAAUAACAACCCGAAAUUUUUGGAUUUUUCUCAGUAAAUCUGCGCAGGAGCUGCAGAAACUUCAAACUAUAGUUAAUAGAAAUGUAGAAACAUAAUAUAAAAAAGAAAUUGAGCAUCUUUUGAGUUUAUAUGCAGAAUUUCCGCAAAAAAGCUCAACAUAAACCAAUGAAAUUGUUUUAUUUAAUAUUUUUAUUGCUAAUUGCUUUGAUGUUUUUUUGUCUAUUUUUAUGUAUUUACUGGACUUUAUGUCUCAAUUAUAAUUGAUUUUUUUUACUUUAGCCUUUUUAAUGAUUAUUUCAUACUAUUAUUAUUCAUUUUUCCUAAUAUUUCUUACAUUAUUUUCAACAUUUCCUUGUUGAAUAUGUCAAUGUUUCUGCACUCUAAUCAAUAAUAGGGGAAUAAAAUCCAUCCUUUUUUCUAAUCCUCCCCUACAUAAACACACCUGUCUUUGAUCAUCAGGCUUUUGCAGAACCUGAUGAUGAUCGGAGUCAGGUGUUCUCGAAGACCAGCGUUGGGAAGUUCUGCAAUAAAUGACGAUAAACUGUCGGUGGAAUAAAAAAAAAA